AUACGGAGGACGCGAGCGUUAUCCGGAUUCAUUGGGUUUAAAGGGUGCGCAGGCGGCCGUGCAAGUCAGCGGUGAAAGCCCGGGGCUCAACCCCGGAAGUGCCGUUGAUACUGCGUGGCUGGAAUGCGGUCGAGGCGGGCGGAACGUGGCGGGUCGCGGGGAAAUGCGUAGAAAUGCCACAGAACACCGAUAGCGGAGGCAGCUCGCCAGGCCUGCAUUGACGCUCGGGCACGAAAGCGUGGGGAUCGAACAGGAUUAGAUACCCUGGUAGUCCACGCCGUAAACGAUGGGCGCUCGUCGUCGGCGACAGACAGUCGGCGGCCAAGCGAAAGCGAUAAGCGCCCCACCUGGGGAGUACGGUCGCAAGGCUGAAACUCAAAGGAAUUGGCGGGG
rnacentral:rRNA from 1 species